UCCUCAGUAACGGCGAGCGAAGUGGGAAGAGCUCGAGCCUGAAAUCACUGGCAGUCACUGCCAGAGAAUUGUGGCCGGGAGAGGCAGCGGUGCCUGGACUGACACUGUCGAAGUUGACCUGGAAAGGCACGUCAGAGAGGGUGAGAGCCCCGUGUGCGACACUGUCGGGAUAGGCUGCUACUGUCUUCAGAGAGUCGGGUUGUUUGGGAAUGCAGCCCAAAGUGGGUGGUAAACUCCAUCUAAAGCUAAAUACUGGCACGAGACCGAUAGCGAACAAGUACCAUGAGGGAAAGGUGAAAAGUACUUUGAAAAGAGAGUCAAAAAGACCGCAAAACCGUUAGGAGGGAAACGAAUGCAGCUGAAGUAGCUCCCUUUCAGGCUCAGGAAGUGUCAAAUCUGCUUGCUGGCCGGUGGAAGCCGCAAGGCUCCAGCGGUUGGACGGCUGGUUGACUGCUCUGCACUCCUGGGGGGAGCUGGCCAACAACAGUUGCCUCUGGCUCAUGAGGGUGUUUGGGUAGGUAGCCACCUCGUCUCGAGGUGGAACUUAUAGCCAUCCAUCUGGCAGUCUGGAGACGACUGAGGAGAGAUGUGAACUUUCACACUUGCAGCACAGGCCCUCCUGGGCCGGGCCGCCUCUUUCCGUUUGGGUACCGCUCCGGGGACUGCUCGCAGUGUCCGCUGACGAAUGCCUGCUUGGUGGGGGGAAUGGUCACGCCUUGUGCUGCAGUUGUUGGUGUCCAAAUGGCUGCAUCCGACCCGUCUUGAAACACGGACCAAGGAGUGCAACAUGCGUGCGAGUCUUGGGGUGGAAAACCCAUCGGCACAAUGAAGGUGAAGGCAGAUUUUGGUCUGCUCAGGCAGGAGCCUCCCCAGGGGGCACACUGUCGACCGAUCCCAGGCUACGCUGUGGUGGGAUUUGAGUAAGAGCGUGCCUGUUGCGACCCGAAAGAUGGUGAACUA
rnacentral:rRNA from 1 species